GGCGAUGUGGCUCAGUGGUAGAGUGCUUGCCUAGCAUGCAUGAAGCCCUGGGUUCGAUUCCACAGCACCA
rnacentral:tRNA from 1 species